UAUAAUUUCUGCAUUAUAAUUUCAUUAUUUGUUACCAAUAAUAUGACAUAUUUUUAAUAAAAAUGUGCACAAUUUUCAAAGCAAUGUUUCAGAUUUGUCUUUCAAAGUUAACAGAACAUAUCGACAGCUGAGGAUGUCUAUUGAUGAUAGAGCAAUUGAUUCGUUGCAGGAUUGUGCGAAAAUUCAAAUGGACCUUAAAUCUUUUUCUGAUUGGUGUAAGAUGAAUUAUAUGGAUGUCAAUGUGGCAAAAUUAUUGCAGGGAAGAAGUUGGAAUGUGUACAAUCUAUACGAGAUCUGGGUGUUAUGAUGGAUGACAAGAUGGACUUUCAUUUACAAUAUGAACACAUAUCUAACAAAGUGAUGAAAAUGUUAGGAUUCAUAUGCAGAUCAACAAAAGAUUUUACCAACAUUUUUUUUAUUAAAAUAUUAUACUUUACAUUGGUUAGAUCAGUGAUUGAGUAUUGCACUUGUAUCUGGUCUCCAACAUACUUCAAUCACAGUUAUGAUAUUUAGAAAGUUCAGAAUAAAUUUCCUAGAUAUGUUGCCUACAAAAUGAACAUGCCAGCUAGAAGUCAUUCGCUCUUUGAAAUUCGGUCUACUAUUGGAUUGCUCAAACUCAGUACAAGACGGGCACAUGCAGACAUAACAUUCCUACAUAAAUUGUUGAACAAUGAAAUCAAUUGCCCAACUCUUCUCUGUCAAGUCAAUCUGCAUGUUCCCCCGAGAAGGACACGUAACAACCAAACUUUCAGUCUCGACUUUCAAAGGUGUAAUUAUGGAAAACAUUCUCCUUUGUCCAGAAUUCUAUCGAAUGCUAAUGGGACCAAUAUUGAUUUUUUUCAUAUCUCUCAGAGCACUCUUAGAUAUACUCUGCGUGGUUUAGAUUUAUAAAAUUAUUUUUUUUCAUCACAGUUUAUUUUAAUUUUGUCUAUGUAGGUUGAUUUAUUAGAUAUGUAGAUACUAGAUUAGUUAACUUUCCAAGGUAAAUAUAUUGUAUGAAAAUUGGGGGUUACCCGUUGAAUAAAUAAAUAUCAAUCAAUCAAUCAAUAAAUAAAUAAACUCCCAAUUGGCAGUACAAUUCAUUCUAUAGCACGUUAUCAAAUUUCUCUCUACUCAUUUUCAACUCCCAUUACUCGACUGUUAAAACAAUCAUCUCUAACUUAUUUGACUUCACCCUUAAGUUGUUAUUAUUUUCUCUGUUUUUUCCUCAUCUCCAUUCAAAACGUAACAUAAAUUGCACUUGACAUUACAUAUAUUGCUAGCCUAGAAAGAAUAAAUAUUUUUUUAUAUGUUCCAACCCUAAGCCCACUUGAAACCGUGCUUUCUUAAUACAUAAGUGUCUGAAAUAGCGGAUGUAAUUCUAUUCCUGUGUGAAGCUUGGUCAGCUAACUCGAGUCAUAAUUUG